rnacentral:rRNA from 1 species
AUGCUCAUUACUGUUGCAACUACUGGAAUUGGGCACGCUAGAGUACUCAAUCUACAGACUAUACAACAAGCCAUGUCCAGAGCUUGGAGGAGCAAUUACCAUGGCAUAUCUCAGGUAUCUAGGCAGAUGUUUAUGGCACAUUUUAGGACUUUGGAUGCUAUGAUGUUUGUUAUUACUAGGCAGCCUUGGAGAAUGGGAUCUGAUAAUCUAUUGAUUAAGUGGCUUGAUCCAACUGACGAAGCAAAGGAAAAACAAGAUUAUCGCUUCAAUACAAUAUAUGUGACAGUACGUGUCUAUGGUGUGCCAGAAAGAUUCAGAUUGGUUCAACUACUUAGGAGCAUCUUGGAGUAG